rnacentral:rRNA from 1 species
CAGUCGCCACGGUAAGACAGAGGAUGCAAGCGUUAUCUGGAAUGAUUGGGCGUAAAGCGACUGUAGGUGGCUUUUCAAGUCUGCAGUCAAACCCCGAGGCUCAACCCUGGACAGGCGGCGGAAACUACCAAGAUGGAGUACGGUAGGGGCAGAGGGAAUUUCCGGUGGAGCGGUGAAAUGCGUUGAGAUCGGAAAGAACACCAACGGUGAAAGCACUCUGCUGGGCCGACGCUGACACUGAGAGACGAAAGUUAGGGGAGAAAAUGGGAUUAGAUACCCCCGUAGUCCCUGUCUCUUAUAC